GAUGAACGCUGGCGGCGUGCCUAAUACAUGCAAGUCGAGCGAACGGACGAGAAGCUUGCUUCUCUGAUGUUAGCGGCGGACGGGUGAGUAACACGUGGAUAACCUACCUAUAAGACUGGGAUAACUUCGGGAAACCGGAGCUAAUACCGGAUAAUAUUUUGAACCGCAUGGUUCAAAAGUGAAAGACGGUCUUGCUGUCACUUAUAGAUGGAUCCGCGCUGCAUUAGCUAGUUGGUAAGGUAACGGCUUACCAAGGCAACGAUGCAUAGCCGAACUGAGAGGGUGAUCGGCCACACUGGAACUGAGACACGGUCCAGACUCCUACGGGAGGCAGCAGUAGGGAAUCUUCCGCAAAGGGCGAAAGCCUGACGGAGCAACGCCGCGUGAGUGAUGAAGGUCUUCGGAUCGUAAAACUCUGUUAUUAGGGAAGAACAUAUGUGUAAGUAACUGUGCACAUCUUGACGGUACCUAAUCAGAAAGCCACGGCUAACUACGUG
rnacentral:rRNA from 1 species